AAUCAAUUACUAGUAUUUAUUUAAUGAUUCAUACUCAGAGAAAAAGUCAACUUUUGGAAUUUUUUAAGUUCUAAAAUAUAAAUCAUGCAGAUCAUCAUUUCCACAUCACUUUUUUUUUUUUCUUUUUUUUAAUCUUGCAUUGGAAAGUGUUUCUUUCUUCUCAGUUCAAAGAACAAACCAAUACACAAUUAUUUUACUCCAAAUCACCAAAAUCCACUAAUUUCAACAUGACAUUAUUUUUACAUAAGCAAAACAGCUUUCACUUAAAGUUUCUAAAAAGAAAGCUUUAAAACAGGUAGCUAUUAUUCUUAUCUGCUGAUCAUAAAAUAAUUAUAGUUCAGGUCAAUCUCUCUACAACAAAUGAAGAUUUAUUCAGAGUAUUGAAGAAGCCUAUUGAAAAUUUGUUUUGAAUUAAAUGCAUCAGUAGCAUUUGCUGAACACAAGCCUUUACAAAAAAACUAUACCCCAAGGAUACAUGUUUUUGUUGUUUUGUUUUUUUUCCUGCUGAGGCUGAAUCAUCCGGUGUAUGGGAAUUGGUAGGUCAUGGCCUGAAGCAGUGACUGAGCACCAGGUGAGAAGGCGUGCCUAAUCCAGGGAGCUCAGGUGCAAACAAACCUCACCCUCCAUGAGGGUUAGCAGCCAAGAGAGAAGUAUUUCUAUUUGGAGACUGUGCCCUUCUCAAGACUUUGCCACCUUCAGAAAGGCACUCCCUAUGUGGCUUAUGCAUCUGUGGUGAUUCAAGACCUUGGCCUCUGCAUUCAAGAGAAAUAGCUUGCCCUUCUGACUUUGCCAAGUCAAAAUGAGAAGUUACCAGCUGAGCAGAAAAGACCUGAAGGCUUCCACGGUACAAAGAGACAGGAGAAGGACUGUACUAGUCACCCUGAGCAAGAGUCUGCAUCUGCUGAUUGAAUGACUUGUUUAGAAAUGUGAAGAUUACUCUGUCUGAUGGAGAUGUGGCAAAAUGGUGGAUUUUUUUCUGAAGCAUGUAAAAAAAAAAAAAAGAAGAAAGAAAAAAAGAAAAAAGGAUAAAACCCGUUGUCUUAACAUCAAGGAAAAUCACUGCUUAAAAUUACUGCCACUAUAUGACUUGAGGAUCUCUCGAGGUCCCUUCCAACCUCUGCAAUUCUGGGAUUCUUUAAUUUGUUUCGUAUGAUAGGCACCUGUCACUUUAAGUAUAUAUGGAAGAAAUAACCUUAAAAUAAUUAUAAGGAGGUCAAGAGUUAUGCAAUUUUCUUGAAAACAGAAUUGCAUUGUAUAUUCUGUAUCAGUCUUUGUUAUAGGUCAUGUUUUGGCUGCCAGUUGUGUUAAUCAACUCCAACCUACCUAAAUAUUUCUCUGUGAUAUUAUUAAUUCUGAGGUCAUUGUCAUUCUGCAAGUGAACUCCAAUACUUUCUCAUUCUUAAAUAGCAUGUAUCAUAGAAACAAUUCCAUUGUUCUAGUUCAAUACACUCAGCUCUAUUGCCUGCUAUAUGUUGGUUGGAAAAAUUUUAUUGGAACAAGCUUUUAGUGUAGAAGAUCUGAAAACAUAUUUUCAUCAAUAUUUUAGUGAAAACGUUCUUUCAAUUUUUGAAAUGGUUCUGUUUUCUGUAAUCUAUAUACCUGCUGUUAUUAAUCCUCACCGAGUAUACCAAACACCAAAAACACUAGCUAGCAUUCAUUCCACUCUGAGACUUCCAUCUAAUUUAGAUUACUCUUUAAAGUACAUCAUCAUCCCCUUUUUUCUUGUAAUUCCAGCUAUAUCUGAUGUCUUAUCAAACAGUGUUAUUGAACUGAAAACUUGCAAGGCUUGUAAUACUAUAUCAAAUAUGCUCUGAGGGAGUUUCUCAGUCUGAUACUGUGCUGUCAAAUGCAACUACUUAUAGUUUUACACUUGCUGAAGUUAGAAUUAGACCUUCUGGUGCAAUUGGAGAUGAUGAGUAAACUCCUGACAACCAGUAGAGGUAAGAAUGAGAUUAUGGAGAUAAGCGAACUGGAUGGGAGGUGUCUUGGAAGCAUGUCACUUCCCUUUUACUAAAUUCUGAAGGGGAUGACAGCUAAUUGAUUGCCUUUUGAGAGAAGUAAAACAAGGAAAAGAUUGAUCUUCUGUUUCCUGAAUGUGAGAGAAAGUUGUAGUGCUUGUUCUGGUAAGGAAGAAGCAAAUGGUCAUUCUUCCAAGGAAACCAGGUAUGAGGCAUGAGGAAGGAAAGCAUAAGAGGACAGAGUGUCAGUGCUUAUGAAAACUGACAGAUGUGAACCACAGUGUUGUGAAAAUGAGAGAAUGACCCAAGUCUCAGUGUGUAUAAGAUCAGUAUAUACCUCCACUUAGUUAAACAUCAGUGCUUUUGAAAUAUUUCUCUCCCCUCUGCUUUUCCAUUUGUUUGCAGUUAUAAAUCAUGGAUUCUGCUUCUGUACCUGAGUGAAAUGAGGAUCUACGUGUCUAUAUAAGUGCCAUUAUGUUGGUUCACAGAACUGUAAGAAAAAGAAAUCCUGAUGAAAUGAAACUUCAGAGUCCACCAGAGCAGUUCUGAUAUGCAAGUCAUACCUUGUCAUACAUUAUUAUAUUAUCAUUUUGCAAAAUACAAACAAAAGACAGUGGCAUUUCAGUUUGAUUUUACAUGAAAUGAGCAGGCAGGCUGGAAAACAGACUGAUGAAAAACAAGCGAAAACAAAAGAAACAACGGUGGGAAAGAUUUGAAAAGGCAAGGCAUAAAAAUCUAUAAAUAUGAAAUGUAAUGAAAAGAUAUAUUACAAGGUAAUACAGAAGACACAGUAGGAAAACUGACUUUUUCCCUAUAUCUCACAAAAUUCCACACAACAGGUCCUCUAGCCCCAGGUGAUAAAACUAAUGCUCAGUUUCAAGCAGAUAAUAUUCCCUAAUGCAGACAGCAUUUCAGCUACAUUCUUGUCCAGCUAUCCAUGUUCAUGUUGUCUAUUUUAUCUCUUGUCACAUCCUGUGUGCUAUAACAAGAAUUCUGAACCAUAUAAAUUCAAUACAAUUAUUUCCAAAUGUUGCUGAGAUAUCCACUUUGUUCCACUCUCUCAGAGCAUUAUUGCCCUGUCCACAGCUUGCUGCCUUUCUAAUAUCUGAUCUGCCUAAAUUUGUACCUCCUAUCUCUCAUGAUUUCAGAACUUUUGAGUGAUUUUCUUGUUCCUGGUUCCCUGGCUUUUUCUUCUCCGUUCUCCCUGUCAAAGUAUGAUAUGCAGUGCUUGGAUUCUUCCCUCUUGCAUCUGUUCUUACCUGGCAGCUCAUCUGGGGCUUGUGGUUUCUGACCUCAAUAGAAGAACUGACAUCUCUCUUCUUGGUUUGGGAAAGAGCAAAAUUUCUUUAUUAGAUUCUUCUUCCUAAGGGAAUGGAGCUUAUAUUAUUAUGUUGUCUGCACCUGUCAAGAGCCAUCCCUUCCCCCACCCUCUGAAUCAAUACGCCUAUUUCAAUCACAUUGCCUAUUUCAACCAAAUCUGACACAGGGUAGAAAUUAAGUUUUCCUAAGUUUCACGACAGUAGGAAUUUAGGUAGACAAAGAUCAUCUUGCAGAUGCCUAAAUUGAAGGCGCCUCUAACCUCUCUUAUUGUAUAUAGGAGAAUCUAUACUGAAAGUAGUUUAAUCAAUGGCCAAGCAGUAGAGAUGCUUAUACCAGCACAAUCAGUUCUUUCUUAUAUGGCUGGGUCAAUCAAUUCUGACACAUAAAUCUAUGCAGCAUCGCUAUUAUGCUUACCAAUGCUCAAACAAAUUCCUGCCUAUUUUUAAUAAAAACAGUAACUCUCCAGCAUCAGCUUUUCCCUUUGCCCUGAACAUCACAGGUGGAAUUCAGGUAAGUGUCACCCCAGGCCUCUGCUGCAAACUUGGGGAAAAUGGCCCACAGUUUCAGAGGAUCAGAUAUGGAUCUAGGCUACCCAUUUAAAUAAAAGUAGCAGUGGCUUGCCAGGAAAUAAUUGUGCACAUUGGGAAUUUUUUUUCUUUUUUAGCAGAUGAAGUACAAGUAGUUCAGCAUAUCUGUAAGCAAAACAAAUUACAAAGGUUCCCCUGCAGCAUAUGUUUCACUUUUCCUUUCAAAAAAAGCAUAAUAUGUUUAUGAAAUUAGGGUACUCCCCCAAAGGGCCUUGAAUAAUGAUAAGAUAUAUGAAAUAUAACUACUGUAGGCUUUGAAACCAGUGUUGCAGAGAUAAGGAUUUAGCAAGGAUGUAGCUCAGUCAAACCUGAUUAAUUUGUGCCUGGUUGUGCCUAAGCAACCAAAACAUUUCACUGGCAGGCAGAGCAAAUGACAAGCACUGUAUGUGCCACUGCAUUAUUAGUCUAGAGGGGAUAUUUUUUAAUAUUUAUAAAAAUACUUUGCAGACUGAUUUACCCUAACUAGGUCUAUCUGUAUUACCAUUAUCUUAUCACAUCCUACAGUGAUAUAAAACAUCAAAACUGAAUUAAUCAUAAUAUGACAUAAAAAAGAAAAAAAAAGUAGAAACUACUGUGCUGUCUUAAAACACUGGAGAUAACAAAUUGAAUUUAUGGUUGUUGGUUGAGAAGAUAACAAAGACAUUGUAAUAAAAAUCUGUCAAUAAACAUCAAAACAUUUUUUAAGAUUUCUGUGCUCUUUUCUUACAAACAUUUAAAGAAUUCAGCCUUCACUGAAAACAUGGAGUUUGGAACAGAGUUACAUUUAAUAGGAAUUGACAAGCUUGGUGACUUUUUAGCAACCUAAGAAGUUAAGAAUUGAAAUUGGAAACAGAGACAUGACACCAACCACCUCUUGCAUCUUUAGAAACUUGUGACAUUACAGCACAAACAAUAGAAUCACCAGGGUUGUAAAUGACCUUUAAAAUCAUCCCGUACAACUAUCUGUAUAUCAUCAAUAUUUCCCACUAAACCAUGUCCCUCAGUAGAACUUCUAAACAUUUCUUGAACACCUCCCUGGGUAGCCCAUUCCAGUACCUGGCCACUCUCUUGGAGUAUUUCCCAAAGUCCAGUGGGAAUCUCCCCUUGUGCAACUUGGGGCAUUCCCUCUAGUCUUAUUGCUAGUUACGUGGAAGAAAAGUUGUAGAAAACAAGAGUUACAUUUCUGAUUGAAAAGAAUCAGUAGAAAUCAGAUGCUGUUCGGGUGUAGAGAAAGCACUGGCAAAAACAAUAAUUUUUCCUGUUGUUGAAAUAUUUAAAUCCUUUUUUGUACAUCUCUUCAUUUUCCCUCACAUACAAAGAAGAAGAUUGAAGACAGGUUUAGAUCAAACUAGAAGAUGGUCAAGGACUUAUCUAAAGCACUUCAAUAUGAAAGUGUCUAGAAUACUAGAACUAUCUAGGGAGAUAGAAAAACUUCAAAUAUUGACUUGCCUUUGGAUUGGCUUAUAUUCAUUCCUUACAAUAAAUCUGACUUAAACUUAAUACUUUUCAGGAAACACUAAGACUUUCUUGACUUGCAGCUGACUUCAAGAAACAUGGGGAAAAUGCAUUUUAAAAAAGCAUCAGUUGAGAACAGAAACAGAUUUUGAAGGAUAUUUCUAAAAUUACUUUCACUUGGUACUAUACAUCCACUGAUAAAACUUGAGAUUUUUAAGUUCAAAAGAUCUGACCUUGGCUACUGGAUGCCAGCUACAUAACUGACAGUUGAGUGUAAUGGUAAUUGAGUCUACUGGUGAGGUCUUCAAAAAGAGAUUGUGGUAAUAAACUCUUUUUCAGAUAGCUAGUACAAAUUUAUGGUCAGCUUGAGAAGGGGGAAAGGGUAAGGAUAACAGCAAUGUUGGACAAACAUGAAGGGAUCUGGGACAUAGAAAUAAAUACAGUAUUACAGAAAAGGCUGCUGCUCUGAGAAUCAAUAUGAUAUUAAUCCAUCUUAUAGUCAUAGGAAAAUAGAAUUUAUUGAAUUUCAGAGGACAAAUCUGGUGAAGAACAGAGUACUCAUCCCUGGAGGUUUUCCAGAAAUGUUUGGACAGGAUACUAAUGGAUGUGGUCUAGUGAAGGAACUUGGUAGGUCAGGUUAAUGGUUUGACUUGAUGAUCUUGAAGAUCUUUUCCUACCUAGAUGGUACUGUGAUUGUAUAAAAUAGUAAAUUGACUUUAAUUUGCAUUUGCUAACUAAUCAGAGGUGAUAAGGUCUUGAAAUUUCAAAUGUCAAAAUGUACUUGACUUCAUGACGUAUAAACUGUUCUGUUUUUAGUGUAAAAAUAAUUCUAACUUCAGAAGGAUUACAAAAAACAGCUUAGAUCAUGUCUUUGCUGAACUGAAGUUUUAUGUUUUUUUCUUUUUCCUUUAGGCUAAAGUAUUAGAGCUAUCCUUUGUGUGACAGAAGACAAAGAACAUAGGUUUUGCCGUAACAUAGAUUAGAAAAGGUUGAAAUGUUGACCAUAAUGAUUCACCACCUUGCAACAUUGCAGUGUACCUUUUUUUCCUGCAUUUUCACCAUAUUGUUUUCUAACCACAGAAUAUCUUAUGAUUACCUCAGGUGAAAAUUUUUACAUUCCUGGUGAUGAGAAGAGACCACAGGAACUCAGAGAAGUAAGAAGCAUCUGACCUAUUCAUCUGAAAAUUGAACUAAAGUGCAUUCAGUAUUCAGUGGGACAAUGGCCUCAGUCACAGGGAGAUUUUUUGCAACACUAAAAGGAUUGUGAACAAAAGACAGCAAAGGCAGAUUGAGCAAUGGUUCAGGGAAAUUGUGUGGGCAGGAAAUACAUUGAAGAGAAAUUCUAGGUAUCCGCAUGCUUAAGCUUUAGGCUGAAAUAUGCCUGGAGAACACUUUGUUUGUUUUGAAUAUUUAAUCUUUGCUUCUAUUGAAAGUUCUAACAAUAAAAAAAUAUACAAAAUCUAGAUAAAGGCAGAUUAAGUUAAUUCAUUAUUGCAGUUUAAGAUAAAUCAUCCUUUUUUUGUUCUGCAAGGCCUUAUAGUUUCUUCUACACAAGAAAUAAAACAGAGCUUAGUAUCACUGUACCACUGUAAAAGUUAUAUAUAAGGUUUUACAUUAGCAGACCUAGGAUCUGAAGUGUCCUUCUCAUGUUAUUGCCACUGUAGACUUCUCAGAGCCCAUUAUUCUGGGAGUCACAGAAUCACGGAAUGGGUGAGGUUGGCAGGGAUCUCUGGGUCCAUCUGCCCCAACCCCUGCCUGUGUGGGGACACCCAGAGCAGGAUGCCUGGGCUCAUGUUAAGGCAUCUUCUGAAGAAUUGUAACUCCACAACCUCUAUGGGAAUCCUGUGCCAGUGCUCAGUCCCCCUCACAGAGAAAAAGUACUUUCUGUCUUUUAUUCUCUGGAAAAGAUCAGAGCACCAAGAAUUUACUAAUAUUUUUUGCAAUAUUUCAGUACAUUCUAAAGAAUAAACUACCGAGUUUGCCUAAUUGUCCACUUUAAUAUGUCUUAAUAAUAUCAGGAGCAGGAAGGCUUUCCUCCACAGGCAUAGUUGAUAAAACCUCUUCAAGAACAGCACCUCAGUUUCCUGGGCCUAAACUCGUCCAUGUGUUGCAACUUGCUGUGUUGCAUUCCAUCUGCAGGCAAAUGCUGGCAAAACUGUGACUUUUGCCAACAUCAAAGAACAGGUGAGCCCAGAUUUCUUUCCAGGCUUAUUCACAGAUUCCUACUAUUUAACCACAGUCUGAGAUCAUGAUUUCUGGUUAAAUACAAAGCUAGGAAUAUUUCACAGGCUGUCAGUUUCUUUCAAAAGCAUUACUCUUGGCUCUCAUAAGCAUAUUAUGAAUCAAUAUUUUCAGGGCUUGGGCAAACUGUACUGAUAAUACUGCAAAUAAACAAAUCCCUCUAACAUUAAUUUUUAAUACAAGAACAUAAACAGAACCACCUACUCUGGCUCUUGCAAGCCCACCCUUUCCACAGGGACACUGAAGAAUCACAGAUUUUAAAAGUGUCCUACUGCUGCCAUCUGGCCGCCAGCCUCCUGCUGAUCCCAAUUGGCACUUACAGCAGCAGCAGUCAGGAAAGGAGCAGCUUCCACAAGUGCUGAUUUAGUGCCUUAGGAGACAGAUUGGUCGUGACUGAGGGUAAAAGGAUUUUGAAACACAGUAGAAAAAGAGAAGGG
ensembl:lncRNA